AUAAUGGGUCAGCGACUUAUAUUCUGUAGCAAGGUUAACCGAAUAGGGGAGCCGAAGGGAAACCGAGUCUUAACUGGGCGUUAAGUUGCAGGGUAUAGACCCGAAACCCGGUGAUCUAGCCAUGGGCAGGUUGAAGGUUGGGUAACACUAACUGGAGGACCGAACCGACUAAUGUUGAAAAAUUAGCGGAUGACUUGUGGCUGGGGGUGAAAGGCCAAUCAAACCGGGAGAUAGCUGGUUCUCCCCGAAAGCUAUUUAGGUAGCGCCUCGUGAAUUCAUCUCCGGGGGUAGAGCACUGUUUCGGCAAGGGGGUCAUCCCGACUUACCAACCCGAUGCAAACUGCGAAUACCGGAGAAUGUUAUCACGGGAGACACACGGCGGGUGCUAACGUCCGUCGUGAAGAGGGAAACAACCCAGACCGCCAGCUAAGGUCCCAAAGUCAUGGUUAAGUGGGAAACGAUGUGGGAAGGCCCAGACAGCCAGGAUGUUGGCUUAGAAGCAGCCAUCAUUUAAAGAAAGCGUAAUAGCUCACUGGUCGAGUCGGCCUGCGCGGAAGAUGUAACGGGGCUAAACCAUGCACCGAAGCUGCGGCAGCGACGCUUAUGCGUUGUUGGGUAGGGGAGCGUUCUGUAAGCCUGCGAAGGUGUGCUGUGAG
rnacentral:rRNA from 1 species